AAUUGAUCCAAAAGACUUAACAGAACGGCCUGGGAAGGCCGGCCAGAGAGGGUGAAAGCCCCGUAAGUGAAAGGUCGAUUGGCAUGGCGGAAUCCAGAGUAGGUCGAGACACGUGGAACCUUGACUGAAUAUGCGGGGACCACCCCGUAAGGCUAAAUACUCCUUAGUGACCGAUAGCGCAUAGUACUGUGAAGGAAAGGUGAAAAGGACCCCGGGAGGGGAGUGAAAAAGAACCUGAAACCAUAUGUUUACAAGCUGUGGAACCACUUUAAAUGUGGAACCGCGUACUUUUUGUAGAACGGUCCGGCGAGUUACGCUGACUGGCGAGGUUAAGUCCUUAAGGGAUGGAGCCGAAGGGAAACCAAGUCUGAAUAGGGCGGUGAGUCAGUCGGAGUAGACCCGAAACCGGGUGACCUAUCCAUGUCCAGGAUGAAGUUGCCGUAAAAGGCAAUGGAGGUCCGAACCCACAUCCGUUGAAAAGGGUGGGGAUGAGGUGUGGAUAGGGGAGAAAUUCCAAUCGAACCCGGAGAUAGCUGGUUCUCCUCGAAAUAGCUUUAGGGCUAGCCUCAUACAAGUCUUGCGGAGGUAGAGCACUGAAUUUCCUAGGGGGCGUCAAAGCUUACCGAAGAAUAUCAAACUCCGAAUGCCGCGUAGAUGGUGUAUGGGAGUCAGACUGCACGAGAUAAGUUGGGUAGUCAAAAGGGAAAGAGCCCAGACCUGCAGCUAAGGUCCCAAAAUGUGUGUUAAGUGGAAAAGGAUGUGGGAUUUCGAAGACAACUAGGAUGUUGGCUCAGAAGCAGCCAUACAUUCAAAGAGUGCGUAAUAGCUCACUAGUCGAGAGGUCCUGCGCCGAAAAUGUCCGGGGCUGAAACACACUGCCGAAGCUCAGGAAUGUACUUGUACAUUGGUAGAGGAGCAUUGUAUACGGGAAGAAGCAGUACCGAUAAGGAGCUGUGGACUGUAUAGAAGAGAGAAUGCCGGAAUGAGUAGCGAGAGGAAGGUGAGAAUCCUUCCGGCCGAAUAUCUAAGGUUUCCAGAGUAAAGCUGAUCUGCUCUGGGUAAGUCGGGGCCUAAGGCCAGGUCGAAAGACGUAACCGAUGGACAACAGGUUGAAAUUCCUGUACCGCGAUAUAACAGAACUGUGGGGACACGUGUGGAGAGCACAAGCCGGGAAUGGAGAGCCCGGCGCAAGCGAGGUAGGAGUCGUACCGGCAAAUCCGUACGGCAAUCCGAAGACGUGAUGCGUACCGAAAUAGAAGUAGGGAAGAGUGUGAGCCAUGCGUCAAGAAAAGCCGCUAUUGUUUGUAUCGCGCCCGUACCGUAAACCGACACAGGUGGAUGAGGAGAGAAUCCUAAGGCCGACGGGAGAAGCAUUGUUAAGGAACUCGGCAAAAUGACUCCGUAACUUCGGGAGAAGGAGUGCCACUGAGAGGUGGCCGCAGAGAAUUGGCCCAAGCAACUGUUUAGCAAAAACACAGGUCUAUGCAAAACCGAAAGGUGAAGUAUAUGGGCUGACGCCUGCCCGGUGCUGGAAGGUUAAGGGGAGAGGUUAGCGGAAACGCGAAGCUUUGAACUUAAGCCCCAGUAAACGGCGGCCGUAACUAUAACGGUCCUAAGGUAGCGAAAUUCCUUGUCGGGUAAGUUCCGACCCGCACGAAAGGCGUAAUGAUUUGGGCACUGUCUCAACAAUGCACCCGGUGAAAUUGAAAUACCAGUGAAGAUGCUGGUUACCUGCGCCAGGACGGAAAGACCCCAUGGAGCUUUACUCCAGCUUGAUACUGGGAUUCGGUAUUGCAUGUACAGGAUAGGUGGGAGGCUAAGAAGCGGUGACGCCAGUUGCCGUGGAGCUGUUGUUGGGAUACCACCCUUGCAGUACUGGGUUUCUAACCAGCGGCCUUAAACAGGCCGGGGGACAAUGUCAGGUGGGGAGUUUGACUGGGGCGGUCGCCUCCGAAAGGGUAUCGGAGGCGCUCAAAGGUUCCCUCAGAAUGGUCGGAAACCAUUCGAAGAGUGCAAAGGCAGAAGGGAGCUUGACUGCGACACCGACGGGUGGAGCAGGUACGAAAGUAGGACUUAGUGAUCCGGUGGUAUAAAGUGGGAUUGCCAUCGCUCAACGGAUAAAAGCUACCCUGGGGAUAACAGGCUUAUCACUCCCAAGAGUUCACAUCGACGGAGUGGUUUGGCACCUCGAUGUCGGCUCAUCGCAUCCUGGGGCUGAAGUAGGUCCCAAGGGUUGGGCUGUUCGCCCAUUAAAGCGGUACGCGAGCUGGGUUCAGAACGUCGUGAGACAGUU
rnacentral:rRNA from 1 species